rnacentral:rRNA from 1 species
GAUGAACGCUGGCGGCGUGCUUAACACAUGCAAGUCGAACGAAGCACUCUAUUUGAUUUUCUUCGGAAAUGAAGAUUUUGUGACUGAGUGGCGGACGGGUGAGUAACGCGUGGGUAACCUGCCUUAUACAGAGGGAUAACAGUUGGAAACGACUGCUAAUACCGCAUAAGCGCACAGGAUCGCAUGAUCCGGUGUGAAAAACUCCGGUGGUAUGAGAUGGACCCGCGUCUGAUUAGCCAGUUGGCAGGGUAACGGCCUACCAAAGCGACGAUCAGUAGCCGACCUGAGAGGGUGACCGGCCACAUUGGGACUGAGACACGGCCCAAACUCCUACGGGAGGCAGCAGUGGGGAAUAUUGCACAAUGGGGGAAACCCUGAUGCAGCGACGCCGCGUGAGCGAAGAAGUAUUUCGGUAUGUAAAGCUCUAUCAGCAGGG